AGCGAACGCUGGCGGCAGGCUUAACACAUGCAAGUCGAACGGGCACUUCGGUGUCAGUGGCAGACGGGUGAGUAACACGUGGGAACGUACCUUUUGGUUCGGAACAACUGAGGGAAACUUCAGCUAAUACCGGAUAAGCCCUUACGGGGAAAGAUUUAUCGCCGAAAGAUCGGCCCGCGUCUGAUUAGCUAGUUGGUAGGGUAAUGGCCUACCAAGGCGACGAUCAGUAGCUGGUCUGAGAGGAUGUUCAGCCACAUUGGGACUGAGACACGGCCCAAACGCCUACGGGAGGCAGCAGUGGGGAAUAUUGGACAAUGGGGGCAACCCUGAUCCAGCCAUGCCGCGUGAGUGAUGAAGGCCCUAGGGUUGUAAAGCUCUUUUGGGCGGGAAGAUAAUGACGGUACCGCAAGAAUAAGCCCCGGCUAACUUCGUGCCAGCAGCCGCGGUAA
rnacentral:rRNA from 1 species